rnacentral:rRNA from 1 species
GAUGAACGCUGGCGGCGUGCUUAACACAUGCAAGUCGAACGAUGAAGCCCAGCUUGCUGGGUGGAUUAGUGGCGAACGGGUGAGUAACACGUGAGUAACCUGCCCUUAACUCUGGGAUAAGCCUGGGAAACUGGGUCUAAUACCGGAUAGGAGCGUCCACCGCAUGGUGGGUGUUGGAAAGAUUUAUCGGUUUUGGAUGGACUCUCGGCCUAUCCGCUUGUUGGUGAGGUAAUGGCUCACCAAGGCGACGACGGGUAGCCGGCCUGAGAGGGUGACCGGCCACACUGGGACUGAGACACGGCCCAGACUCCUACGGGAGGCAGCAGUGGGGAAUAUUGCACAAUGGGCGCAAGCCUGAUGCAGCGACGCCGCGUGAGGGAUGACGGCCUUCGGGUUGUAAACCUCUUUCAGUAGGGAAGAAGCGAAAGUGACGGUACCUGCAGAAGAAGCACCGGCUAACUACGUG